UACGUAGGGUGCGAGCGUUAAUCGGAAUUACUGGGCGUAAAGCGUGCGCAGGCGGUUCGUUAAGUCAGAUGUGAAAGCCCCGGGCUCAACCUGGGAACUGCAUUUGUGACUGCAUGGCUAGAGUGCGGCAGAGGGGGAUGGAAUUCCGCGUGUAGCAGUGAAAUGCGUAGAUAUGCGGAGGAACACCGAUGGCGAAGGCAAUCCCCUGGGCCUGCACUGACGCUCAUGCACGAAAGCGUGGGGAGCAAACAGG
rnacentral:rRNA from 1 species